rnacentral:lncRNA from 1 species
UAGACAGCUGUGAUGAAGAGGUCGUUGGUCAUGUUGUCUUCUGUGCAACGCAUGCCCAUCAUGCAGAUUUCUCAUCACUCCAGGAGGUUUGUGCCUCUGUCUGUGUGUCCAGGUACCAUCUCUGCAGGGGCUGAGAAGUCCAAGACCAAGGUGCUGGCCUAUUUGGUUCCUGGUGAAGAUUCUCUUUUGGCUUGCAGGUGGCCCUGUCCCUUUGUUCCUUCACAUGGAGAAGAGGAGGGGGAGAGAGAGACUGAGCUGUCUUGUGUCUCUUCUUAUAAGGGCAUUAAUCCCAUCAUGAGUGCCCCACCUUCACGUCUGCAUCUAAACCUAAUUAUUAACACCUCACAAAUGCCCAUCUCCAAAUGCCACCACAUUCCACAUUGGGGGUUAGAAAUUUUAGGAAUAUAAAUUUGGGGAGGGCAGAACUCAAACCAUAACACCAACUCCAAGAGCAGGCCUUGCUAAGUAAAGGUUGGUUGUGCUUCAGAGCUCUAACAGCUCUGGGAGUUCAUUGUGAAAUAGGCCUAUUGUCACUUGUUGAAGGUUGUGCAACUCCUAGUGGCUGAACCAUCAGAUUCCAAACUUCAUUCUUUUCAUUAUAUCAAAUAAAUGGCCUUGAAAGAUCUGUAAUGAGGACAAGAGUGACCAGUCAAAAAAAUGGCAAAGAAACCAGUAACAAAAGGGAAUAUGACAAUUAAGUGCCUAAUAAAUUGGGUAGGGGAGAUAAUGAAAAAUCAGCAAAUACAGGAAAAUGAAUGAAUGGGAUUUAGGGCAUGCAUCUGUUACUUAAAAAAGAGACUGAAAAGUCUGAGGGAAUCUUUUGUGAAAAUUAAUGAAAAAGGCCCAGCAUUUUCUGGCCCGUGUGUUAUGUAUGUGCAAGUCUCAUGUUUACAGUUAUUCUCGAACACUCCUUGCUCUACCCUACCCUCCCAAGUCUUUUGACCUCAGGAAAAAUCAGUCUAAGGAGAUUGUUUUUGUCAUCUCCAGCUGUCUCAGUUGCCCAUCAAAUCCAGCCUUUGUUUCUGUUGCAGCCUCAUUGUCUCUGAGUGCAACUUUAACCCUGUCUUGAAUUGUCUAAGAGGCUGGGGGCUGACAGCUGAAUCCAAGUCUCAGAGACACAGACUUUGACCUUUACAGUCCACUGAUCUGCAAAAUACGUCAGUUAAUACACAUAGGAAGAGAUGGAAGAAAGAGCAGCACAAAAGUGGGCAAAGGAUUUCCAAAGGAGGAGUAAAGAGACGGAGAGCAGAGUGAGCUGAGCAAAGACAUCUAGAUUAAUGAUAAGGCGACCAAGGGAUAGCUAUAAAACAGGCUGGGAAGGGUUCUGGUAGCAGCGUUAGCAGCCAUUUCUUUUCCUUUUUCUUUUCUAUUUUUCCAGCUAAGACUGAAGGAAAGGCGUUAAAUACAAUCUGGGGUGCAGUGGCUCACACCUGUAAACCCAGCACUUUGGGAGGCCAAGGUGGGCGGGUCACCUGAGGUCAGGAGUUUGAUACCAGCCUGGCCAACGAAACGUUGUCUCUACUAAAAAUACAAAAAAAAUUAGCCAGGCAUGGUGGCAUGCACCUGUAAUCCCAGCUUCUCGGGAGGCUAAGGCAGGAGAAUCACUUGAACCCAAGAGGCAGAGAUUGCAGUGAGCUGAGAUCAUGCCACUGCACUCCAGCCUGGGUGACAGAGCAAGACUCCGUCUCAGCAAAAAGUAAAUAAAUAAAAUAAAAAAUAAAUACAAUCUGGAAUUGAGAUUAAAUAUAAGACAUAACUUUCAGGGCCUGGCGCAGUGGCUCGCGCCUGUAAUCCCAGCACUUUGGGAGGCCAAGACGGGCGGAUCACCUGAGGUUGGGAGUUCAAGUCCAGCUUGACCAACAUGGAGAAAACCUGUCUCUAAUAAAAAUACAAAAUUAGCUGGAUAUGGUGGCACAUGCUGGUAAUCCUAGCUACUCGGGAGGCGGAGGCAGGAGAAUUGCUUGAACCCAGGAGGCGGAGGUUGCGGUGAGCCGAAAUUGCGCCAUUGCCCUGUAGCCUGGGCAGCAAGAUAAAAACUCCAUCUCAAAAAAUAAAAAAAAUAAAAAAAUAACUUUCAGAGAGAACUAUUUAUUUAAUAAAGGAAAAGAUUAUUGACAAGGCUAUGUAAAUCACCCUUACUGCCUAAUACUGAGGCAUAAUUAUUAUCAAGCCCCAUCUAGAAGUUCGGCAGUCCCUUGGGCACGUCAAAUGCAUACAUUACUUCAUUUAAUCUUUUUAGGAACUCCCUAAAGUGAAUAGUAUUACCCCCAUUUUACAGAAAAGUAAACUGAGGCUCAAGGAUGGUAAGGGACUUGCCAGGGACCUAUGCAGUGGGUGGCACAGCUGAGUUUAGGACAAUUUACGUUUGGCUCUAAAGCCAAUGCUCUUGCCACUAGAUCAGCAGGAACCAUAGUCUUGAAUUGCUUCAGACUAAGCGCAGGGAACGAUGGAAUCAUCUCUGUGGGUUCCAAACCUGCCUUAUCUCAGCGACUGGGUGAAAGGUAACAGAAAGGAGGAGAGAGGAACUGAGAGUGACCUCAUGGCGUGAAAUCUCCUAGUACCGCCCCCAGCAUAAAGCCAAGAAAAACGUUCAUCAGUUUCCCUCAGAGUAAAUCCCUUUGCAUUUGAAUUAAUGAUGUAAGAAGUCCAAGAUCAGGGUGGCUGCCUAUUUAGUUCCUCAGGGAGGUCAACUUCACAGCUGCCAGAACUGUGAGAACUAAAUGUCUGUUGUAUGAGCCACCCAGUCUAUAGUAUUUUGUUAUGGCAGUCCCAGACGACUAGGACAGUGAAGUUCAGAGAAAAGAGGCCGGAGGCCUUGUCCCAGGCCAUGGGGAUACCACUGAGCUGAAGGAGGAAAGCUCCCAGCCAGGUUUGAAAUGCAAGAAAAAAUGAUGUCUGGCCAGCUGCGGUGGCUCACACUUGUAAUCCCUGCACUUUGGGAGGCCAAGGAGGGAGGCCAAGUGAAUUCACUUGAGGUCAGGAGUUUGAGACCAGCCUGGUCAACAUGAUGAAACCCUGUCUCUACUAAAAAUACAAAAGUUAGCCAGGUGUGGUGGCAGAUGCCUGUAAUCCCAGCUACUCCGGAGGCUAAGGCAGGAGAAUCACUUGAACCUGGAGGCGGACAUUGCAGUGAGCCGAGAUCACGCCACUGUACUCCAGCCUGGGUGACAGAGCGAGAUUCUGUUUCAGAGAGAGAAAGGAAAGAAGAAAGAAAGAAAGAAAGAGAGAGAGGGAGGGAGGGAGGGAGGGAGGGAGGGAGGGAAGGAAGGAAGGAAGGAAGGAAGGAAGGAAGGAAGGAAGGAAGGAAGGAAGGAAAAAAGAAGGAAGAUGUUAGCAAAAAUGUCAGAGAAAGGACCUCUGAAAAAUUUCUCCUUUAUGAAAAUAAUGAGAAAACUGGCAAAAAUGGGAAGAAUCAACUUUUUUAGGACUCUGGAAAUUAUUCAAAUGCUGGCAGGAAUUCAGGAAGUAUGUAUUCAAGAAAAAUGGCUGAAUCUCAGUAAUUAGAGAAAUUAGAAAAUAGUUUGAGAUGAGUGAAAAUAAAAACACAGCAUACUCAGACUUUUGGGAUGCAGCUAACCCACCGCUUAGAGGGAAAUUUAUAGCUGAAAUGCCAAUAUUAAUGAAGAAGAAAGAUCUAAAAUCAAUAAUCUAAACUUUCACCUUAAAACACUGGAAAAGGAAGGGAAAACUAAACCAAAAAGCAAGCAGAAGGAAGGAUAUAAUAAAGACUCUAAUGGAAAUAAGUGAAAUACAGAAAAGAAAAACAACAGAGAAAAUCAACCAAACAAAAUGUUAAUCUUUGGAAAGACCAACAAAAUUGACAAAAUAUUAGCUAAACUAACCAAGAAAAAAAAGAAGACUUGAUUACUAAAAUUAGGACUGAAAGAGAGCACAUGACUCCCGACCCUACAGAAAUAACAAAAAUUGUGA